GACGAACGCUGGCGGCGUGCUUAACACAUGCAAGUCGAACGGAAAGGCCCCUUUGGGGGUACUCGAGUGGCGAACGGGUGCGUAACACGUGAGUAACCUGCCCUUGACUUCGGGAUAACUUCAGGAAACUGGGGCUAAUACCGGAUAGGAAUCCUUGCUGCAUGGUGGGGGUUGGAAAGCUUCGGCGGUUUUGGCUGGACUCGCGGCUUAUCAGCUUGUUGGUGGGGUAGUGGCUUACCAAGGCUUUGACGGGUAGCCGGCCUGAGAGGGCGACCGGCCACAUUGGGACUGAGAUACGGCCCAGACUCCUACGGGAGGCAGCAGUGGGGAAUAUUGAACAAUGGGCGGAAGCCUGAUGCAGCAACGCCGCGUGCGGGAUGACGGCCUUCGGGUUGUAAACCGCUUUCAGCAGGGGCGAAGCUUGUGGUGACGGUACCUGCAGAAGAAGCACCGGCUAACUACGUG
rnacentral:rRNA from 1 species